rnacentral:misc_RNA from 1 species
GAUGGUGAGUUGCAUGGUAUAAUUUAAGUAUGGAACUUAACUGUUGACAGGAUUGCGGAGGAAUGCAUCCCUGGCUUCUCUGUAGCAAAUCCAUAUGUGACACAUUAGUACUUCACAUGAUGUCUGUUGGUUAAAAGUUGAUUUAGUUACUGAAAUUCAAACAUGAAUAAAUAUCAAACAACACUCAAGUUUGACAGUCAGAAAGGUAAGUAAGCCAGGCUACAGAGAAAUAUCUUGAGAGGUUUUGAUUGCUCAACCCAACCAUUGAAGUGCUGCUACUACCCCUUAUUCCUUUUGAAAAAACUUAAACACUGAAUAGCCAUCUUUCUCUUCUAUCUUUCCUCAUUCUGCCAUUGGUUCUUGACUUCUUGCAUUCUGAAAGCAAUUUAUCCACCAACCAAGAUUCUUCCUUCCUAAGCUUC